rnacentral:rRNA from 1 species
CCUACGGGUGGCGGGAGGGAGGAAUAUUGGUCAAUGGGCGGAAGCCUGAACCAGCCAAGUAGCGGGCGGGAUGAAGGCCCUACGGGUGGUAAACCGCGGUUGCACGGGGAUAACACCCGCCACGUGUGGAGGUCUGCAGGUACCGUGCGAAUAAGGGCCGGCUAAUUCCGUGCCAGCAGCCGCGGUAAUACGGAAGGGCCGAGCGUUAUCCGGAUUCAUUGGGCUUAAAGGGAGCGUAGGCGGGCGGUCAAGUCGGCUGUAAAAGCGCGCGGCUCCACCGCGCCCCGCAGUUGAAACUGGGCGCCUUGCGUUCACCACAGGCAGGCGGAAUUCGUGGUGUAGCGGUGAAAUGCUUAGAUAUCACGAGGAACCCCGAUUGCGAAGGCAGCCUGCCGGGGUGCGACUGACGCUGAGGCUCGAAAGUGCGGGUAUCAAACAGGAUUAGAUACCCGUGUAGUC